rnacentral:lncRNA from 1 species
GUAAAAACUGACCGAGUAAAUGUGAAUAUUUUUUCACUUGAACACUCUGAUCUGUUUGGAACUUAAUUUCCUUACUCAUGAAAUUAAUAUAAUAAGGCUAAGUUGGUCAGUAGUUAAACUAACUAAAUUUGGCUGAAGAUUGCUAUGUUCACUAUGCAAAGAUUAGACCGUUAGUUCCCUGAGUGAAGAGAUGCUAUCUUGGUAUCUCCAGCUUCCAACCGGGGGCUUGGCACAGAAUAGGGGCUUGGUAAAUGUUUUCCAAAUGAAUGGGAUGUCUGAUGGAAAGAAGACAAGGUGAAGGAAUUCCUGGGUAAUAUGGAGAUGAGAAUCUGUGAGAAGGAUACAUGUACUGAUGCCUGUCGCGGUGGACACACAGACGCACACAUUGCGGAACACCACCAAAAACCAUAAAAGGUAAGAAGACAGUGAAGCAACGUAAUUAAAGGACACAGAGAAACGAACGGCCAAGCCCGAAUUCUACAUCCAGCAAAGGAAAAGAUUUUUUAUAAAUGCAGGCAACAUAGUUGCAUUCUCAGUAAGAAUAUUGAGAAUAUCGAGAACACUUCAAUAUUCCAAACUUCAAUGGAAAUAUACGAACUGGAGUACACUCUUCUUCUGCCCUUGGACAUCAGGCUCUCUGGCCUUUGGACUCCAGGACUUAUACCAGCGCCCCUCUGGGUUCUCAGGCCUCUGUACUUGAACUGAGCCACACUGCCAGCAUGCCAGCUUCUCCAGCUUGCCAGGCCUGCUGUGGGACUUCUCAGCCUCCAUAAUCAUGUGUGCCAAUUCCCCUAAUA